GGGGAUGAUUGGCUUCGACAAGGAGUCGUCAAAUUAAGAGGGCAAAUCGAGACACCCAGCUCGUUAAACGGGUAAUUAAGAAAUGCUAACGCAUCUUCUAAAGCCGAAUUGGUGAUUUCACCUUUCUCGGUUCCCGCUUUCGCUUUAGCUUAAGUGGGCAUGAUCAAGUCGCGCGUCUUAACGCGGCGUGAUGGUGAUAUAAUCUUUAAGUCUCGGAGAAAGUGGGGCCUAACAUUUUUCUCUUAAACUACUUGGCUCAUACUACCAGUCUUUGAUCAUUUGUUGCUGGUAGUAGACACUUCCAAAUGACCUACAUUUGUAGAACUCUUUCUUUUUCCUUCUUGCACGCGGGUCCGAUUCCCGCCAUCUCCACAU
rnacentral:tmRNA from 1 species